GUGCCAGCAGCCGCGGUAAUACGUAGGUGGCAAGCGUUGUCCGGGAAUUAUUGGGCGUAAAGCGCGCGCAGGCGGUUUCUUAAGUCUGAUGUGAAAUCUUGCGGCUCAACCGCAAGCGGCCAUUGGAAACUGGGAGACUUGAGUGCAGAAGAGGAGAGUGGAAUUCCACGUGUAGCGGUGAAAUGCGUAGAGAUGUGGAGGAACACCAGUGGCGAAGGCGACUCUCUGGUCUGUAACUGACGCUGAGGCGCGAAAGCGUGGGGAGCGAACAGGAUUAGAUACCCUGGUAGUCCACGCCGUAAACGAUGAGUGCUAAGUGUUAGAGGGUUUCCGCCCUUUAGUGCUGCAGCUAACGCAUUAAGCACUCCGCCUGGGGAGUACGGCCGCAAGGCUGAAACUCAAAGGAAUUGACGG
rnacentral:rRNA from 2 species